rnacentral:rRNA from 1 species
GGAGAAGUUAGAAAGGGCACACGGUGGAUGCCUUGGCGCCAGGAGCCGAAGAAGGACGGGGCGAACACCGAUAUGCCUCGGGGAGCCGUAAGCAGGCGUCGAUCCGGGGAUUUCCGAAUGGGGCAACCCGCCAGCGUCAACCGCUGGCACUUCCACCUGAACCCAUAGGGUGGAUAGAGGCAGACCGGGGGAACUGAAACAUCUUAGUACCCCGAGGAGAAGAAAGCAACCGCGAUUCCCUGAGUAGCGGCGAGCGAAACGGGAUUAGCCCAAACCGCAAGGGGUUUCCCUUGCGGGGUUGUGGGGCGUCCGAUAUGGAGUGAGAAAAGCAGAAGGUAGGCAAAGUGGCCUGGAACGGCCCGCCAUAGAGGGUAACAGCCCCGUAGCCGAAACCUUCCGCUCUCCCGGACGGACCCCGAGUACCGCGGAACACGUGAAAUUCCGUGGGAAUCCGGGAGGACCACCUCCCAAGGCUAAAUACUCCCUGGCGACCGAUAGUGAACCAGUACCGUGAGGGAAAGGUGAAAAGCACCCCGGGAGGGGAGUGAAACAGAACCUGAAACCGUGUGCCUACAAGCAGUCGGAGUCCCUGUAAGGGAUGACGGCGUGCCUUUUGUAGAAUGAACCGGCGAGUGACGGUGGCGUGCAAGGUUAAGGCGAGAAGCUGGAGCCGCAGCGAAAGCGAGUCUGAACAGGGCGUCUUUAGUACGUCGUCGUCGACCCGAAACCGGGUGAUCUACCCAUGUCCAGGGUGAAGCUGAGGUAAAACUUAGUGGAGGCCCGAACCCACUGGUGUUGAAAAACCAGGGGAUGAGGUGUGGGUAGGGGUGAAAUGCCAAUCGAACCCGGAGAUAGCUGGUUCUCCCCGAAAUAGCUUUAGGGCUAGCCUCGGAUGAGAAAGUCGCGGAGGUAGAGCACUGAUUGGGCUAGGGGCCUGUCAAGGGUUACCGAACUCAGUCAAACUCCGAAUGCCGUCGACUUGUUAUCCGGGAGUCAGACUGCGAGUGCUAAGAUCCGUAGUCGAAAGGGAAACAGCCCAGACCACCAGCUAAGGUCCCUCAGUGCGUGUUAAGUGGGAAAGGAUGUGGAGUCGCAUAGACAACCAGGAUGUUGGCUUAGAAGCAGCCACCAUUGAAAGAGUGCGUAAUAGCUCACUGGUCCAGGGACUCUGCGCCGAAAAUGUAACGGGGCUAAACACGCCACCGAAGCUGUGGAUGUCUAUAGACAUGGUAGGGGAGCGUUCCCAGGGCAUCGAAGUCGCUUCGUGAGAAGCGGUGGAGCGCUGGGAAGUGAGAAUGCCGGUAUGAGUAACGAAAAGAGGGGUGAGAAUCCCCUCCGCCGUAAGCCUAAGGGUUCCUGAGGAAGGUUCGUCCGCUCAGGGUUAGUCGGGACCUAAGCCGAGGCAGAGAUGCGUAGGCGAUGGAUAACAGGUGGAUAUUCCUGUACCACCUUCCGCCGUUUGAGUGACGGGGGGACGCAGGAGGGUAGGAGAGCGCGCUGCCGGAUAUGCGCGUCCAAGCGGUGAGGCUGAAGGAAGAGGCAAAUCCCUUCCUUCAAGGCUGGGCCGUGAUGGCGAGGGAACGUAACAGUACCGAAGUCUUUGAUCUCACACUGCCAAGAAAAGCCUCUAGCGAGGCGGAAGGUGCCCGUACCGCAAACCGACACAGGUAGGCGAGGAGAGAAUCCUCAGGCGCGCGGGAAAACUCUCGUUAAGGAACUCGGCAAAAUGACCCCGUAACUUCGGGAGAAGGGGUGCCCCGGUAGGGUGGGUUUUACCUGCCCGAGGGGGCCGCAGUGAAGAGGCCCAAGCGACUGUUUAGCAAAAACACAGGUCUCUGCGAAGCCGCAAGGCGAAGUAUAGGGGCUGACGCCUGCCCGGUGCUGGAAGGUUAAGGGGAAGGGUUAUCCGAAAGGAGAAGCUCUGAACCGAAGCCCCAGUAAACGGCGGCCGUAACUAUAACGGUCCUAAGGUAGCGAAAUUCCUUGUCGGGUAAGUUCCGACCCGCACGAAAGGCGUAACGACUUGGGCGCUGUCUCAACGAGAGACCCGGUGAAAUUGUAGUACCCGUGAAGAUGCGGGUUACCCGCGACAGGACGGAAAGACCCCGUGGAGCUUCACUGCAGCCUGAUAUUGAAUUUUGGUACGAUCUGUACAGGAUAGGUGGGAGCCAGCGAAGCCGGACCGCCAGGUUCGGUGGAGGCAAUGGUGGGAUACCACCCUGAUCGUGCUGGAGUUCUAACCGACAUCCGUGAUCCGGAUGCGGGAGAGUGUCAGGUGGGCAGUUUGACUGGGGCGGUCGCCUCCUAAAAGGUAACGGAGGCGCCCCAAGGUUCCCUCAGCGCGGUUGGAAAUCGCGCACCAGAGUGCAAAGGCAGAAGGGAGCUUGACUGCGAGACCUACCAGUCGAGCAGGGACGAAAGUCGGGCUUAGUGAUCCGGUGGUUCCGAGUGGAAGGGCCAUCGCUCAACGGAUAAAAGCUACCCCGGGGAUAACAGGCUAAUCUCCCCCAAGAGUCCACAUCGACGGGGAGGUUUGGCAC